rnacentral:rRNA from 1 species
GACGAACGCUGGCGGCGUGCUUAACACAUGCAAGUCGAACGGAAAGGCCCUGCUUUUGUGGGGUGCUCGAGUGGCGAACGGAUGAGUAACACGUGAGUAACCUGCCCUUGACUUUGGGAUAACUUCAGGAAACUGGGGCUAAUACCGGAUAGGAGCUCCUGCUGCAUGGUGGGGGUUGGAAAGUUUCGGCGGUUGGGGAUGGACUCGCGGCUUAUCAGCUUGUUGGUGGGGUAGUGGCUUACCAAGGCUUUGACGGGUAGCCGGCCUGAGAGGGUGACCGGCCACAUUGGGACUGAGAUACGGCCCAGACUCCUACGGGAGGCAGCAGUGGGGAAUAUUGCACAAUGGGCGGAAGCCUGAUGCAGCAACGCCGCGUGCGGGAUGACGGCCUUCGGGUUGUAAACCGCUUUCGCCUGUGACGAAGCGUGAGUGACGGUAAUGGGUAAAGAAGCACCGGCUAACUACGU